CCGUCGCACGCCUGCUCGCACGCGACCGUGUCGCUCGCCCGGGCGUCACGGGGGCGGUCGCCUCGGCCCCCGCGCGGUCGCCCGAACGACCGUGUGGUGGGGGGGGGGAUCGUCUUCUCCUCCGUCUCCCGAGGACGGUUCGUUUCUCUUUCCCCUUCCGUCGCUCUCCUUGGGUGUGGGAGCCUCGUGCCGUCGCGACCGCGGCCCGCCGUCGCCUGCCGCCGCAGCCCCUUGCCCUCCGGCCUUGGCCAAGCCGGAGGGCGGAGGAGGGGGCUCGGCGGCGGCGGCGGUGACCGCGGCGCGGUGACGCACGGUGGGGGUCCCCAUCCUCGGCGCGUCCAUCGGGGACGGCCGGUUGGAGGGGCGGAAGGGCUUUUUCCCGUAAACGCCGCGUUCGGCGCCAGGCCUCUGGCGGCCGGGGGGGCGCUCUCUCCGCCCGAGCAUCCCGACUCCCGCCCCUCCUCUUCGCGCGCCGCGGCGGCGACGUGCGUACGAGGGGAGGGUGUCGCGGUGUGGAGGCGGAGAGGGUCCGGCGCGGCGCCUCUUCCA
rnacentral:misc_RNA from 1 species